rnacentral:rRNA from 1 species
UACGUAGGGGGCAAGCGUUGUCCGGAAUUAUUGGGCGUAAAGCGCGCGCAGGCGGCCUUGUAAGUCUGGUGUUUAACCCGCGGGCUCAACCCGUGGUCGCACUGGAAACUGCAAAGCUUGAGUGCAGAAGAGGAAAGUGGAAUUCCACGUGUAGCGGUGAAAUGCGUAGAGAUGUGGAGGAACACCAGUGGCGAAGGCGACUUUCUGGGCUGUAACUGACGCUGAGGCGCGAAAGCGUGGGGAGCAAACAGG